rnacentral:rRNA from 1 species
UACGUAGGGUGCGAGCGUUAAUCGGAAUUACUGGGCGUAAAGCGUGCGCAGGCGGUUUUGCAAGCCGGAUGUGAAAUCCCCGGGCUCAACCUGGGAAUGGCAUUUGGGACUGCAAGGCUCGAGUGCGGCAGAGGAGACGUGGAAUUCCUGGUGUAGCGGUGAAAUGCGCAGAUAUCAGGAAGAACACCCGUGGCGAAGGCGGGCUCUCGGU